GGAUGUGAAGGUGAUCUGGCUGCAAUAUUUUUCACUUCAUUGAUUGCCAGGAUUGAUUUGGCUGGCUGGGUGUAUGUCCCUUCGUCCCUCACUGCUCCAUGUGUGUCCCUCCCAAAACUGUUGCAUCCUCAAAGAGGAUGACCUUCCCUGAUAGAGGAGGACUGUUCUUUGGUCAAGAGUGUAAGAAUAGCUUCACUUUUCCUGCUAGAACCUCCAAACAGUCUCUCAGGAAGAUCAGUGUAAAAUAGAUCUUUAAAGCAAGAAUAUAGUGUGGUAAUUGCUGUAGUAAAAGCUGUAGUAAAUUGC
rnacentral:sRNA from 1 species